rnacentral:rRNA from 1 species
GCGGGUUGUCAAGUUGGGGGUGAAAUCUCGCUGCUUAACCCCGAGGCUGCCUUCAAAACUGGUAGGCUAGAGUGCGGUAGAGGUAGAUGGAAUUCCCGGUGUAGCGGUGAAAUGCGUAGAGAUCGGGAAGAACAUCAGUGGCGAAGGCGGUCUGCUGGGCCUUUGCUGACGCUGAGGCACGACAGCGUGGGGAGCAAACAGGAUUAGAUACCCUGGUAGUCCACGCCGUAAACGAUGAUUGCUAGGUGUGGGGGGGAGCACCCCUCCCGGUGCCGACUCUAACGCAUAAAGUGUCCCGCCUGGGAAGUACGGCCCCAAGGCUGAAACUCAAAGAAAUUGACGGGGGCCCCCACAACCGGGGAAGCAUGUGUUUUAAUUCAAACCACCCCAAAAAACCUUACCUGUCUUUGACAUGCACGGGAAAGCCGGUGGAAACAUCGUGCCCCUCCUCGGAGUCCUUGCACAGGUGGUGCAUGGUUGUCGUCAGCUCGUGUCGUGAGAUGUUGGGUUAAGUCCCGCAACGAGCGCAACCCUUGU